GACGAACGCUGGCGGCGUGCUUAACACAUGCAAGUCGAACGGAAGGGCCCUGCUUUUGUGGGGUGCUCGAGUGGCGAACGGGUGAGUAACACGUGAGUAACCUGCCCUUGACUUUGGGAUAACUUCAGGAAACUGGGGCUAAUACCGGAUAGGAGCUCCUGCUGCAUGGUGGGGGUUGGAAAGUUUCGGCGGUUGGGGAUGGACUCGCGGCUUAUCAGCUUGUUGGUGGGGUAGUGGCUUACCAAGGCUUUGACGGGUAGCCGGCCUGAGAGGGUGACCGGCCACAUUGGGACUGAGAUACGGCACAGACUCCUACGGUAGGCAGCAGUGGGGAAUAGUGCACAAUGGGCGGAAGCCUGAUGCAGCAACGCCGCGUGCGGGAUGACGGCCUUCGGGUUGUAAACCGCUUUCGCCUGUGACGAAGCGUGAGUGACGGUAAUGGGUAAAGAAGCACCGGCUAACUACGUG
rnacentral:rRNA from 1 species